rnacentral:rRNA from 2 species
UGGGGGAUAUUGCACAAUGGGCGAAAGCCUGAUGCAGCAACGCCGCGUGAGGGAAGACGGUUUUCGGAUUGUAAACCUCUGUCUUCGGUGACGAAUAAUGACGGUAGCCGAGGAGGAAGCCACGGCUAACUACGUGCCAGCAGCCGCGGUAAUACGUAGGUGGCAAGCGUUGUCCGGAAUUACUGGGUGUAAAGGGUGCGCAGGCGGGAUAGAAAGUCAGCUGUGAAAACUAUGGGCUCAACCCAUAGACUGCAGUUGAAACUGUUGUUCUUGAGUGAAGUAGAGGUAGGCGGAAUUCUGAGUGUAGCGGUGAAAUGCGUAGAUAUUCGGAGGAACACCAGUGGCGAAGGCGGCCUACUGGGCUUUAACUGACGCUGAGGCACGAAAGCAUGGGGAGCAAACAGG